UCUUCCUUUUUCUUUUUCAGUGCUAGCUGUAGUUAAUGAGCAUCUUUGUGUAUACAACUUUUGCUACAGUUGAAUCCAUCUUCAAGCAGAAAUUCCCUGGAAUGAAAUCCUUUGGUCAAAGGGCAUGAACAGUUUUACCGCUCUAGCUGGACAGAAUUGCCGUGUUGCUUUCCUAAGGGGUCUUUCAAAUCACAAAGCCCCUGAGCUUACCAAUGUUCUAAUAACCUUGCCAACACCAAGUGUUAUUGGUUUAAACAUUCUAAGCUAAUUUAGUUGGUGUAAUGUGGUCCCUCAAGGGUAGUUGCAGGUGCAUUCACUUGACCUCUACGAAGGAUGAACAUUUCCCAUGAGUUUUCCACUUGUGUUUCAUCCUUGCCUUUGCUUCAGUUUCCUGUGAGACAAAUUGGAGUUUGACAUCCCUCCUCAAGAUGCCUCCUCCAAGACCAGAGUUCCCUGUGGCUGAGCUGUGUGUGCAGAGAGCACCUUUCUCUCUCCUUGGGAAGCCCUUUGAAUGUAGAAACUCUGCAUUCCUCAUUCCUGUGCCCUCCCUCUCCCCAGUGGCUAGGACUUAACACCAAAGGGUGCUCAGGAAACAAAUGGAAGCAGGGCACUAACCAACUCCAGGAGGACUGGGAGCAUGUUUCCCGCUGAAUCCCUGCCAUCUUGACCACUGCCUGGCAAGAGAAGACACUCUACCAACAUUUUUUUAGUGCUGCAUCCCUUGGAGGGCAUGAGGCAAGGCCACGUGAGACACAGUCGGUGCUAGAUUCCUGGAGGCAGAGCUGAGGGUAGGUCUUGAAACCAGCGAGGGUAGCAAGCAGAGGAAGAUGACGAUCCAUUCCUCUUCUGAUCUUCACUAUAAGGGGCACCAAGCCCUGGGUCAUGACAAGGUCUUAUAUUUAGCAUGGACUUGCAACCAGUAAGUGCUGUCCCUUGCUAGCUCUGUGACCCUCUCAUGUGACUUUAACCUCUCUUGAGUCUCAGCUUCACCAUCUUUCGAAUGGGGAUAACACGUAACAUAUCUCAUGAGGAUGAAAUGAUGAACGAACAGGGCCGUUCCCCUGCCUGGACACUCUUCUCUAGAGUGUCUGCAUGUCUCUCUCCCUCACUUGGGUGCAUGGACGCCUACUGUCCAUUGCCCUCCUCUGUCUGCCUCUGGCAAAUGCUUUGUGCUGGGGGUUGGUGGAUAUGAAGGUCAAAUGUCACCAUCUUCCUAGGCCUUUCCAGAAUGCCCUCUUGCCUGCUCUCUCCUUGACAUGCUCCACGUUUCUCCCAUAGCACCUGACACCCUCCAACACUCUGUGUUAACUCACAUAUUUUUGUUUGUUUGUUUCUCACCCUCUGUCUCUCCUUAUUAGAAGGUAAGCUCCACGAGGGCAAGGAUUUAUGGCCUUUUUCUUCCAUGGAUGACUCUGAAACGCCUAGAACAGUACCUGGCACACAGUAGGUGCUCCACUAAUGCUGAAUGAAUGAUGCAUGUGGAAGGCUGAGUCUGGUUCCCACAACACAGUAGUAGCUCAAUAAUGAUAGCAUAUAACAUUAUUAUUUAAUUAUUAUUAAAUUGCCUCAAGCAAUUUUGUGUCCACUGUCUGUCAGGACUGGAUGGGACCAGAUGCCAUUAACUACAUACUCAGUCCUCCCAACAACCAAGUAUAAGGCAGGUACUAUUAUCGUGCCCAUUUGACAGAGGCUCAGGAAUGACUGCCCACAUUCACACAGUUGACAAGGAAUAGGGGGCUGAUUCAGCAUCACACCUAGGCCUGAGUCCCAAGUCCUCUUUUCAGGACUUGGGUGCCUGAAUGUGGGACGUACCUGAUGAAUGGGACUCUCCUUCCAUCAAAGAGGAGGGGCUGUUUGGUUUGAGCCUUUGAAAAAAAGUCAAACACAAGAGGAGAGAGGGUAUAUGAGACAGAGGGAACAGCAUGAGCAAAGGUGUGGGGGUCUACCAGAUGUAUUUCUUGUGCAUCCUCUAUGUGCCCAGCCCAAGGCAAGAUGCAAUGGUGUGUGUGUGUGUGUGUGUGUGUGUGUGAGUGUGUGUGUGUGUGUGUGUGUGUCUGUAUGUGUGUAUGUGU
rnacentral:lncRNA from 1 species